ensembl:lncRNA
GCUGAGGACCUCUGGGCUGCAGCACGCUAUGUCGAACGGGUGUCCACGCUAAGUUCGGUAUCGAUAUGGUGUUCCUGGGGGAGCCUGGGACCACCAGGUUGUCUAAGGAGGGGUGAAACGAAGCAGGUCAAAUCCCCCGUGCUGUCCAGUAGUGGGAUAAUACCUGUGAGUAGAUGCUGCAGUGCAGCCUUGGCAAAACAUCGAGACCUAAUCUUUUCAUUUAAAAAAAACGUAUUUUUAUCUGCUACACAAAUUGUCACUUCGAAAUGUUUAUCAGACCAUGAAAAGUCGACACUUUUUUUCAGCUUUCCAAAAACAAUUACCGUUAUACCUUCUGAUAAUCGAGAAUUAUACUGACUACUACUGACGAGAUGUGUGGAUACCGGCAACAAAAUGCAGCACGGACCGUUGAGGGAGGAGUAGGUGCUAGCGCGAUGCUUAGCAUGAAACUGAGGCCAGCUCUCCCAUCACCAUCGACAGACAGACAGUUCGGAUAGGUUCAUUUACCUGUGUGAAAUGAGCCACAAUAAUGAUUAGCCAAAUCAUUGGAAUUUGAGAUUCACCUUCAAAUUAAGUCCCUUAUUGAAGGUGAUGCAAACGAAUACAAAAAGUGGAAUCAUGUCAUAUGUUUGUACUAGAUUGAGUUAUACAAGGUUGGAAUGUUGUUACAUAAUUUAAAAUACUAUAAGUAAUAUAUUUGACAAUAAUCAGAAAACAAUUGAAAUCACACUGUGGAUAUUUUAGACUGCAUAAUUGCUUUGGGCAAGAGCUCUCAAACUAGGCAAAUGACAUUCUCCAUCACUAAAGGCAUUUGAUAUGCAUAUCUAUUGAUUUGGUGUUUUGCCUAUUUGUUGUGUACAACUUUUGAUGAUACACCUUUGAUGAUAUAUUUAGGCAGAUUAUAUAUUUUUACCUGUUUUUGCAUGACAUCACAUUUCAUGUGUGUUUCUGCAUAUGUACCAAUAUCUUCAAAUCAACCUUAACCUACCAAGGGCCCAACUGGACAUCCAAUGACAGUGUACGCACUAGCUUUAUAGAAGCAGCACUUCUUAGUUUUUCCCAUGCAAAGGCCUUUAGCCUACAACCGUCCUUCGUAAUUACGUCACAGACUCCUACCUCUAUCACCUUUACCUGCAGCUGAAUAUCUCACCGGGUGCGGUGGCAUGUGCCUGUAAUCCAAGUCACUGGGAGGCUGAGGUUGGUGGAUCAAGUGAGCUGAGGAGCUCUGGGCUGCAGCAC